CGGAUACAGUAGAUGGCCCCAACAGACUCACAGGAAUGACAAUGACUACAAGGAGGACGAGGAGGAACUGAGCGAGGUGGAUUCCGAUGAUGUUUAAGAGUUCUCCGAUGACCCCGAGGAUGAGAAUUACAUCCGUUCAUCCGAUAGAGUCCAGGAUCCAGUUACAGAGGGACGUGUUGACACCCAGAGAGGGCAGUUUCUAGGGUACGAUGGUGUUAAAUGCCAAACUGGUGUAUAAAUGUGAGACCCCAUUUUCCAGGUGGGACAGGACAGAGUGGAUGGCAGAAGCUAAUGCAUCAUCAUUGGAUCAAUUCAAUCCGAACCAGAAAGUGAACCGAUCCGGAUAGGAACACAAGCCCCAACGCCGGGCAGGAGAAGCCGACGGACACCACGUGCAAAACCUAUGAGAUGAUCCCAGUGAAUGAGCUCCUGUUGGAUGAGGAGUGUGAGGGGAUGAUCAGCAGUGUCCACGUGCUGUACCUUGGGCAGAACAACCUGGGAGACCCCCGGGAGCGAGAGGCCUAGCUCGAUCAGAUACGUGAGAUACUGAGGAAACAGCUCCCCUACAAGCAAAUCCUGUCCAGGAGAAAAUGUGACAAGGGAAAUAACUGAGAAGGAAGAUCUCAGACUGUGUUUUUCCAACGUAUCACAGGGUGAUGGACAAUGUGUGAAGUGUUCAUGGGUUGUGGUGGGGAGUGUGAGGUUUCAGUCAGUUGUGUGAUGGUGGUGGGGAAUCCAAUAUCAGUGAAAUAUUAUUAGCAUCAAUUAGACUGUGUAUCUGUCAUUGAGAAUCAGGUUUAUUAUCAGUGACAUAUUACUCUUUCAUCUUUCAUUAUUUCUCAUCGAUUGAGUGUAAUAAUGGGUUUAAUCCAAGCAAUGAAAGACACAUUCAGAUUCCUGGGAUGUGUCUCUGUAAUUGUUUCUGUAUUUCCAAUGAUCCAUGAUACUUUAAUUAAGAACGUAUUUCUGUUUUACUUCAGUUGUGAUGUUACGGUCAUUUAUGACUGUUGUUAAAAGUAAUAUCAUAAAGACACAAAAUAAAUGAACAUUGCCAAACAGCUUGUGGAGAAAGGAGACCGUUUCUGCACAGUUGAUCUUCCUUUGCAUGUCAGCUGUUUGUCGGUCUUUAUUUAAGUGUAGAUUUUGAACCUAUCAAAUACCUGGAAGAGGCCUGAACUGCUACAGCACAGGAGGCUAUGGAUCAACAGCAGGUUUUAGAGAUCAUCCUUACUGGUCAUCUGGGUAACACUGAGUGGCUGGACAGCCUUGCAGCACCUGGUUCCUCACUUUCUGCUGGACCUCAGGUGCAGAUGCUCCUCCAAAAAUAAGCAGAAAAACCCUUUGUAGUGUUUAUGCUGAGAAACACUAUGGACUCUUCUUUCAUCUCCCUCUGUAGGAAGGUGUCAGACUGAGAGCGAUGGACUCUCCGUGUCAGAGGCAGAGGCAACGUCUGGUGAGGAGCCACAGGGGAACAUUGAACAACAGAUGGAAACCAGGCUGAGGGACUGUGGCCAUUUUAUCUACUGAUCAGUGUGUGGAAUGAAAACAGGACACUCUGCUCUAGAGUUACCUCCUGAGGCCCCUCCAUCUCAUUAUGCAAGAAGACAACACAC